rnacentral:rRNA from 1 species
GGUGAUCGGCCACACUGGGACUGAGACACGGCCCAGACUCCUACGGGAGGCAGCAGUAGGGAAUCUUCCGCAAUGGACGAAAGUCUGACGGAGCAACGCCGCGUGAGUGAUGAAGGCUUUCGGGUCGUAAAACUCUGUUGUUAGGGAAGAACAAGUGCUAGUUGAAUAAGCUGGCACCUUGACGGUACCUAACCAGAAAGCCACGGCUAACUACGUGCCAGCAGCCGCGGUAAUACGUAGGUGGCAAGCGUUAUCCGGAAUUAUUGGGCGUAAAGCGCGCGCAGGUGGUUUCUUAAGUCUGAUGUGAAAGCCCACGGCUCAACCGUGGAGGGUCAUUGGAAACUGGGAGACUUGAGUGCAGAAGAGGAAAGUGGAAUUCCAUGUGUAGCGGUGAAAUGCGUAGAGAUAUGGAGGAAC